rnacentral:rRNA from 1 species
AGCGAACGCUGGCGGCAGGCUUAACACAUGCAAGUCGAACGGGCACCUUCGGGUGUCAGUGGCAGACGGGUGAGUAACACGUGGGAACGUACCCUUUGGUUCGGAACAACUCUGGGAAACUUGAGCUAAUACCGGAUGAGCCCUACGGGGAAAGAUUAUCGCCAUGAGCGCCGCGUCUGAUUAGCUAGUUGGUGAGGUAAAGGACUCACCAAGGCUACGAU